UUUGCAUAUUAGAAAUAUAUGGUUAAAAGUGGUUGGCAUUAGGAAGGGCAUCUAGCUGUAGAAACCAUGUCAAAGCAGGUGUUGGAGCUUGGCACAAGCUUCUAGUUUGUCAGUUCCUGUCAAACUGUUCAACCUAUGCCAGCAUGGAAAAAAGAAAUGUUACCGAUCAUGAUGAUGAUAUUUCCUUCAUUUCUCAGCUAAGAUAUGUUGGAUUUAUUAUAUAAUUGGCUUUAAGUGGUAGGAGUUCUAUUAGAUUUUCAACAUUAAUAUCUUAAGAUCAGUGGUUACUUAGGUAUGCUAUAUAAUUUUACUUCCUUUUGUAAUUUCAUUGUACAUAAAUCACCCUCUUUCUAUUGCAUAUUUUUUUAACCUUUGACAUCAUUAAGACUGGAAGCCAUUCAUAUCAAAUUUUCUUUGAUCCUUCUCAACUUUAUUCUAGUUUUUCAUUGAUAUUUAGAUAUCUCAAGUCUUCUGCCUGGCCAGCUCCUGUCAAACCAUCAAACCCAUGCUAGCAUGAAAGACAAACAUUAAACAAUGAUGAUAUAUAUAUAUAUGUUUACUUAGUUUUUCUUAUAUAUAGAUAUAUAGAUAUGUAUACACAUAUCUACCUACCUAGUGUUUCUUUAUAUAAGUGUGUGUGUGUUUCUUUAGUUGUCUCAUAAGAAAGAUAACAUCUAUUUGAAAAAUGGACAAUCUUUUGGGUUUCCUAUUCUCUUGUAAUGUAUGAAGUCAGACUGCUGUAAUCUUCUCCAUCUGAUAAUGUACUUUUACAUCAAAUACACCAAAGUGACUAUAUAAUACUGGAAAUCACCUGCCAGUUGAGAGUUUCAAUGUAGAUCCAUCUAACCAUUGGCACUGUUGUUUAAAGCUAGACAGUUUAAGUCUUUGACAUUUAGUUUUUACUAUCAUAGAAUAAAAGAACUAUAGAUAUAAACAUAACUUUGGUUCAUCAGGAUUGGAAGUAUUAUGUUUGGUAAAUAACAGUUGGUUUUUUAAAUGGAAAUAUUAAAGUCUUGCUUAGUAACACAAAUACUUGUUUUACUAUGUUGUGUUAUCUCAUUUGAAAGAUUAAACAUUU